rnacentral:rRNA from 1 species
GGUGUAGACGGCUGUUUAAGUCGAAUGUGAAAUCUCCUGACCUAAUCAGGAUGGGUCGUUCGAUACUGAAUAGCUCGAGGGCAUCAGAGGAAGACAGAAUUCCCGGUGUAGCGGUGAAAUGCGUAGAUAUCGGGAGGAAUACCAGUGGCGAAGGCGGUCUUCUAGGAUGUUCCUGACGUUGAGGCCCAAAAGCGUGGGGAGCAAAAC